AGUAGUUUGAUCCGUGCUAGGACGAAGCUGGCGGCGUGCCUAACACAUGCAAGUCGAGCGAUGAAGCCCUUCGGGGUGGAUUAGCGGACGGACGGGUGAGUAACACGUGGGUAACCUGCCUCAAAGAGGGGGAUAGCCUCCCGAAAGGAGAUUAAUACCGCAUAACAUUAUUUCUUACGCAUGAAGAGAUAAUCAAAGGAGUAAUCCGCUUUGGAGAUGGACCCGCGGCGCAUUAGCUAGUUGGUGAGGUAAUGGCUCACCAAGGCGACGAUGCGUAGCCGAACCUGAGAGGGUGAUCGGCCACAUUGGAACUGAGAUACGGUCCAGACUCCUACGGGAGGCAGCAGUGGGGAAUAUUGCGCAAUGGGGGAAACCCUGAACGCAGCAACGCCGCGUGGGUGAAGAAGGCCUUCGGGUUGUAAAGCUCUGUCUUCUGGGACGAUAAAUGUACGGUACCAGAGGUAGGAAGCCACGGCUAACUACGUGCCAGCCGCCGC
rnacentral:rRNA from 1 species